rnacentral:rRNA from 1 species
CCUACGGGAGGCAGCAGUGAGGAAUAUUGGUCAAUGGGCGCGAGCCUGAACCAGCCAAGUCGCGUGAGGGAGGACGGCCCUACGGGUUGUAAACCUCUUUUGCCGGGGAGCAACGGGCGUCACGUGUGGCGCCACUGAGAGUACCCGGAGAAAAAGCAUCGGCUAACUCCGUGCCAGCAGCCGCGGUAAUACGGAGGAUGCGAGCGUUAUCCGGAUUUAUUGGGUUUAAAGGGUGCGUAGGCGGAUCGUUAAGUCAGUGGUCAAAUUGAGGGGCUCAACCCCUUCCCGCCAUUGAAACUGGCGUUCUUGAGUGGAAGAGAAGUAUGCGGAAUGCGUGGUGUAGCGGUGAAAUGCAUAGAUAUCACGCAGAACCCCGAUUGCGAAGGCAGCAUGCCGGCUUCCGACUGACGCUGAAGCACGAAAGCCAGGGUAGCAAAUGGGAUUAGAUACCCGUGUAGUC